ensembl:lncRNA
CUGCAAUAUAAAGUCGUUUCCGAAAUGCCACGUAGGUCUACUUAUAUCAGUGCAUUCAACCUAACAAUUUCGAAACUUCUAUUCGAUAAAAUAAGCCUCAGGUAGUAAAUUAGCAAAUACAUUUUUUUUUACAUACAAUUCCAUACAAAAAUUCCUCACUUCGUGGAUUUAUUUCGUGGAAAGAUUUUAGGUGGAGUAAAAUCUCUCGCUCCGCCUUUUCCUCUCUGUUCUAGCGCAGAGCUCGGUGCUUCUAGCAAGUGUAAACAAAAGGAAAUUGACAUCUUGCAGUCUUGCAUAUCUUGGAAAGGCAAUCGGCGGAUCAAGGUUUUUACUUGUUGAGUAAAUCGCUAGCUAUAUUUACAUACUAGUGUGUUAUUUGAGUAUUCAAUUUUUGUGUAUAUCCUCGCGCAUUUUAACUUGAGCUUCAGAUUGAGCAGAAGAAGUGGAAGUCAAAACAUGGUGGAGACACGCACAGUACGGUUAGAGUCCUUGGAUGACAGCUCCGAUGAUGAACCCCUAAUUGCAUUAGUAAAGAAGAAGCCGCAGCACAUUGAACACAAUGGGACUCAGGGUGAAAAAGACCAGAACCGACAACCUGAACCUGAGUCAAAGAAUAGCACUAGAAAAGAUUCUGGGUUGGAUGACACCUCAGAUGAUGAGCCCUUGACGAAGUUGCUGAAUAAACUUUCCAGAGCUAAAAAAGCCACCGUACAAGCAAAGAGGCCAGGGACUACUGAUAUCAAAAGAGGAACAGGUAAUGGCAUCAAGAAGACAAACAACAAAUUCACAGGUUCAACCCAGAAUGAGGACUCCUAUGAUAGCUCAGACGAUGAGCCCUUGAUAAAGAUGAUUAGAAAGAUCCCUAAACAGACAUCAUUGCCAUUCAAAAAGAGACCUUUCAACACAGCCAGAGAGAUGAACGAUGUGAAGAAGCGCAGAAAUAGCUCACAGAACACUAAUAAAAUAAGCACAGAUUCAUCAUCAGGUGACAGCUCAGAUGACGUGCCCCUGAUUAACAUGGUCGACAAACUCAAGACACAAAUGCGAACGAAGACACCCACCACUACAGCCAGAAAAACACCUGGCAUUAAAAAGCCCAGAAAAGUUUUUAAAAAACACAACAGGAGUAUAGAGACCUCAGAUGACAGCUCUGAUGAUGAGCCAUUAAUAAAUCUGACCAAGAAGUUUCCAUCUAAAGGGACUGAAAGGACAAUACUGAAGAGGUGUGUCACUAAGGAAUCAAACAGCAACAACUGUAAUAAAAUUGAAGGGAAAAUGAGCAGAGAGGAAGAGGUGAGUUCUGAUUCUGAUGAUAAGCCCUUGAUAAAUCUCGUCAAGAAGCCUCUUAAAGUUGUAAAGAAGACCAUGACACCAUUAAAGAAGAGGAGCGUAUCAGGAAAGACUGUGGUAGCCAGAAAGAAGACGAGACCAGACAUUAGGAACAAAGCAGUCAUCAGACGGAGCACCAAAGUUGUUCAAAGAACACGUGAAGGGUCUUUGGAUGACAGCUCAGACGAUGAGCCCUUGAGUAAAAAGAUGGUGAGAAAUCCACAAAUGAAGAGCCUAAUGGUGAUUCUGGAGAGAUGUGACACAAAAGAAGUCUUGGAAGAUAACUAUAGAGCCAACGUGGGAAACACUGGUAAAAGAAGUGCAGGGGAUAAGGAGAACUCCGAUGAUGAACUCUUGAUAAAGAUGGUCACGAAUCCCCCUCAUUCUUCACCAGAAACUAUGGCAGAGAAGGAAAAUAAGUCACAAACUGCCCUUACGAUGAACCUUUGAUAAAGAUGGUUGGAAACCCAAAGUCAUGUUCAAGGGAUAUUAUAGAUACUGGAAUAGUGACUUUGUUUUGGGAAAACGUUGAGUAACAAAUUUGCCGGGAAGAUGGCACAAUUGUUACUGACACAACAACCCCAUUUUUUAUUGCAUGAGUUUACAGUGUUAUGGUGAAAAGAAAUAUGUGAAUUGUCUAAAUAUUUUGGUGAUCUGGAAUCACUAUUUUCAUGUUAGAAUUUUUUAGUGUUUUAAAUUUUGUAACUUUUUCUAUAAUUUUUUAAAUAUUUUUUUUACCACUUGGAUGCUGGUGGUUUCAUGUCUAUAGCAUAUUUAUAACCAUGCAAAAUUUGACUCACUCAAUAGGUCAAAUUUUUAAUUGUUGCCAAUACUGUCUCCAGCAUAAUGAAUUAUAGAGUACAUUUGUGUGAUCGAAUGCAAUACCUUCCUCCCCCCUAUUCCUUUUGACUGGAAUGGGCCAGCACUGGAAGCAGUACUAUACAUUGUAAAUGUUCAGUCCAAGUAUAAGGGCGCUGCCAUUCAAUUGUGAGAUUACAUUUUUUUUUUUGUAUUAUUAUUCAUGAAUUGAUUUGUUUUCAACAAUUUUAUUAAAAGAACAGAAGUUUCCCAUUUUGUCUUGUUUCAAUGGGCAGAAAGUAUGCUUUAAAGACCACCGACAGACACAGCACCAAAUGUAUUUGUUUGUUGUUGUUGCAAACACUGAGU